rnacentral:rRNA from 1 species
UACGGAGGGUGCAAGCGUUGUCCGGAUUUAUUGGGUCUAAAGGGUGCGUAGGCGGCUUUUUAAGUCAGUGGUGAAAUCCAGCAGCUUAACUGUUGAAUUGCCAUUGAUACUGGAGAGCUUGAGUACAGACGAGGUAGGCGGAAUUUAUGGUGUAGCGGUGAAAUGCAUAGAUACCAUAAAGAACACCGAUUGCGAAGGCAGCUUACUAGGCUGUAACUGACGCUGAGGCACGAAAGUGUGGGGGAUCAAACAGG